CUCUUAUUAAGGGCUUUUUUAUUUUUAGUUAUUAUUUUUUCUUGAACAGCAUCACGAGAUGGCCACAAAACAUGGUUACAUUUUCCACUCUAAAAUACAGGUGUUCCCAGACCAACUCUAGCCUGAUGCCUCAUGCCAGAGCCUGGGAAUCAAGGCCAGGUGGAUCUCUGGGAUUUGAUUAUUCCAAAAGCAUUAAAGCAUUUCAUGAUCUUUAAUGUGCCCCACCUGCCUUUCACAGCCAUAUUACUUCACUGUACCAGCUUUUAAAAGAGAGGCUUUUCUUGCACAUAGGUAUCUACAGUAACAAACUAUACAAGGUUUUAUAAGUCAUGUUUUCCACCAAUACAAAGCUCAUUGCUUAGUUUAAAAAUACACCAGUAUGACCUUACCUAUCUAAUUAAAAUCAUGUAAAAAUAAAAAAACCCUGAGAUAUGACCAAAUGGAAAGUCACUGCUUUCUAUACACACUUGCAUUCACACAGAAUGAAUGACACUUCUUAUCUGAAUACAAACUGGAGUGGAUUCAUUAUCUGUAUUUAAAGAUGAAAUUAGCUGAAAGUAUAUUACAGCACUUGAGUGUUCAAGUCCCAGUUCAUAAAAAUUUUAUUCUCACUUCAGUUAGAAUCUUCCUGCACUGUGUGCUGGAAAGGAACUUGCCCUGAGGCGUAAAUGCAUUGCACAGCUAAUUCCACAUGUCUUCUAAUGAAUGAGAAUCAGCCGCAUAUUCACGGCUCUGCAGCAAAGGUGGGGAUAAGUGAGAUGAGGCGUGCUAGCAGCGUGAAAAGGUGUCUCUUCCCCUUUCUUUGAGGCACAACCUUGCGAGAUAGCAGAACCCACACAUCUUGAAGCAAACUCUGCUGAUUUGCUAAAGCUUAUUAAAAAGGAUUAGCACGCCUUCUAAUACUCAUCUUCCACAACAAAAGAUCACAAAUCUCAGUUUUCCUGGAAUGUGCCUCCUGAAAAGAUGUAGUUUAGGACCACUACCCCUCCAUGUCCUCUGUGGGCACUUGAGAGAUCAGCCAAAAGGAGCAGACCAACAGGCACAAGGAGAAGAGCUGAGGCCCACACUGAAGAGCAACACUACGUGGCAAGCACAGCUUUAAAGAGAUGUUGCCAAGAUGGCACAGAUUUGGAAAAUAAAUUAAUUUUUGUACAGGAGGAAAAAUAAAA